CUAGUGAGAAAUAAACUACCCGUACCGCAAACCGACACAGGUAGUCGAGGAGAGUAUCCUCAGGUGAGCGAGCGAACUCUCGUUAAGGAACUCGGCAAAAUGACCCCGUAACUUCGGAAGAAGGGGUGCUGACCGCAAGCACGCAGUGAAUAGGCCCAAACAACUGUUUAUCAAAAACACAGGUCUCUGCUAAAUCGUAAGAUGAUGUAUAGGGGCUGACGCCUGCCCGGUGCUGGAAGGUUAAGAGGAUGAGUUAGCGCAACGAAGCCCAGAAUUGAAGCCCCAGUAAACGGCGGCCUGAACUAUAACGGUCCUAAGGUAGCGAAAUUCCUUGUCGGGUAAGUUCCGACCCGCACGAAAGGCGUAAUGAUUUGGGCACUGUCUCAACGAGAGACUCGGUGAAAUUAUAGUACCCGUGAAGAUGCGGGUUACCCCGGACAGGACGGAAAGACCCAUGGAGCUUUACUGUAGCUUGAUAUUGAGUGUUUGUACCGCUUGUACAGGAUAGGUAGGAGCCGUAGAGAUCGGAACGCUAGUUUCGAUGGAGGCGUUGGUGGGAUACUACCCUAGCUGUAUGAACACUCUAACCCGCGCCACUAAUCGUGGCGGGAGACAGUGUCAGGUAGGCAGUUUGACUGGCUCGGUCGCCUCCUAAAAUGUAACGGAGGCGCCCAAAGGUUCCCUCAGAAUGGUUGGAAAUCAUUCGCAGAGUGUAAAGGUAUAAGGGAGCUUGACUGCGAGACUGACAAGUCGAGCAGGGACGAAAGUCGGGCUUAGUGAUCCGGUGGUUCCGUAUGGAAGGGCCAUCGCUCAACGGAUAAAAGCUACCCUGGGGAUAACAGGCUUAUCUCCCCCAAGAGUCCACAUCGACGGGGAGGUUUCCCACCUCGAUGUCGGCUCAUCGCAUCGUGGGGCUGUAGUCGGUGCCAAGGGUUGGGCUGUUCUCGCCAUUAAAGCGGUACCGGAGCUGGGUUCAGAACGUCGUGAGACAGUUCGGUCCCUAUCCGUCGCGGGCGCAGGAAAUUUGAGAGGAGCUGUCCUUAGUACGAGAGGACCGGGAUGGACGUUCCGUCCUGGUGUACCAGUUCGUGCGCCACGCAUCGCUGGGUAGCUAUGAACGGCAGGGAUAAACGCUGAAAGCAUCUAAGUGUGAAGCCCCCCUCGAGAUGAGAUUUCCCAUUCCUAUAUGGAAGUAAGACCCCUGAGAGAUGAUCAGGUAGAUAGGCUGGAAGUGGAAGUGCAGCGAUGCAUGGAGCGGACCAGUACUAAUCGGUCGAGGACUUAACC
rnacentral:rRNA from 2 species